rnacentral:piRNA from 1 species
UACCAUUGAAGUAACUGAAUA